rnacentral:lncRNA from 1 species
GAGUUUAAGUUUAGGAUUUAGGGUUUAGAGUUUGGGUUUUGAAUUUAGGGUUUAGAAUUUUGUUAGAAGCAUCAUUUUUUUUAAAUUAUUUUUGAUUUUUUUUAAAAAAUUAAUAUUUUUAUUAAUAAUUUAAGAUAAGUGGUGAAUUGAAAAGUUCACCUAAGUUUUGUCUAUUUUGAGUUAUUCUUGGGUUCACCCCCUAGGGUGAACCUCUAUGUUCACCAACCAAUAUGAUUUAACGUCGUCAGCAAAACACUAAACCCUAAAUCCUAAUCCCUAAACCAUAAAUCCUAAACCAUAAAUCCUAAACCAUAAACCCUUGGAUAAACCCUAAACCCUUGGAUAAACUCUAAACUCUUGGGUAAAAUCUAAACCCUUGGGUAAACCCUAAACUCUUGGAUAAAUCCUAAACCCUAAAUAAAAACACUAAACCCUAAAAAUCAAAACCCUAAAUCCUAAACCCUAAACCCUUGAGUGUUUUAGUGUUUAGUGAUUUUGAUUUAGAAUUUAAGAUUUAUCC